CUAAUACUGCAAGUCGACGCUUCUUUCCUCCCGGUGCUUGCACUCAAUUGGAAAGAGGAGUGGCGGACGGGUGAGUAACACGUGGGUAACCUACCCAUCAGAGGGGGAUAACACUUGGAAACAGGUGCUAAUACCGCAUAACAGUUUAUGCCGCAUGGCAUAAGAGUGAAAGGCGCUUUCGGGUGUCGCUGAUGGAUGGACCCGCGGUGCAUUAGCUAGUUGGUGAGGUAACGGCUCACCAAGGCCACGAUGCAUAGCCGACCUGAGAGGGUGAUCGGCCACACUGGGACUGAGACACGGCCCAGACUCCUACGGGAGGCAGCAGUAGGGAAUCUUCGGCAAUGGACGAAAGUCUGACCGAGCAACGCCGCGUGAGUGAAGAAGGUUUUCGGAUCGUAAAACUCUGUUGUUAGAGAAGAACAAGGACGUUAGUAACUGAACGUCCCCUGACGGUAUCUAACCAGAAAGCCACGGCUAACUACGUGCCAGCAGCCGCGGUAAUACGUAGGUGGCAAGCGUUGUCCGGAUUUAUUGGGCGUAAAGCGAGCGCAGGCGGUUUCUUAAGUCUGAUGUGAAAGCCCCCGGCUCAACCGGGGAG
rnacentral:rRNA from 1 species